AACCUGGUUGGGUGGUCUGCCUUCACGGUACGUACUGCUUGGCCGGGUUCUACCUCUUGGUGAGCCGGCAUGCCCUUCACUGGGUGUGUCGGGGAACCAGGACUUUUACUUUGAGAAAAUUAGAGUGUUCAAAGCAGGCAAAUGCCCGAAUACAUUAGCAUGGAAUAAUAGAAUAGGACU
rnacentral:rRNA from 1 species